rnacentral:rRNA from 1 species
GUGGAUUAGAUACCCUAGUAGUCCACGCCCUAAACGAUGUCAACUGGGUGUUGGGGAAGCGAUUCCUCAGUACCGUAGCUAACGCGUGAAGUUGACCGCCUGGGGAGUACGGCCGCAAGGUUAAAACUCAAAGGAAUUGACGGGGACCCGCACAAGCGGUGGAUGAUGUGGAUUAAUUCGAUGCAACGCGAACAACCUUACCUACCCUUGACAUGUCCGGAACCCCGCUGAAAGGCGGGGGUGCCCGAAAGGGAAUCGGAACACAGGUGC